UUUCGUUGUUAGUGGCUUUUUUCGUGAAAUAAAGUCCAGCUUGAUUAAAAAUGUUGCAUGUUUUUUGAAUAUAUGUGGGGGCUAGAUUUUUUUUUUUUUGAAGUUUUCAAAAAAUUUAACAGUUGGUCUAAAUGGUAUGACAUUGAUUUAAGGAAGUUUUAAUUCCAUUGUUUACAAAAUGCUUCGACUAUGUAUUGUUGGAUGUGGAUUGACUGGAGCGUUGACAGCAAUGUUAUUAAAACAAAAAGUUCCACAACUAUGUAAUACUGUGAUUUUGGAGAAGUCUCGUGGUACAGGAGGACGAAUGUGUACAAGUCGAAAUUCUCUUGGAAGUUCCCUUGAUCUCGGUGCUCAGUUUAUUUCUCGAAGUUCUAUUUUAACAUCCUUCCAGGAAAGAUGUUAUGAAGAACUUUUAGAAGUUGGCAUUUUAAAGCCUCUGCCACAAGUUAUUGAAGGAUUAAAAUCAACUUCUGCAGUUACUGAACAUUAUAUCUGUCCAAAAGGAUCAGGAUCUAUCAUAAAGCAUUUCUUAAAACCAAUAGAUGGAGAAAUUUUAUUUGGACA